CAAGUAUGGUUUGUCCUUUCUGGGCUACUGUAGAAAACAUGGUGGACUCCAUGAAGAGGACCCGCUCCCUUAUGUAGUUAUGAGGGCUCAUUCUAAGCUAACGCAACGAUUCUUAGUUUCAGACUUAAAGCAAGAGGUCCAGGAACUGAAAAUGUGCUGCACUGAUGUCAACACCCAGUGUGACGAUUUACAAAGACAACUAGUACAGAGCCAGCAGUAUGCAGAUCAUCUGAAGCGGCAGCUGUACGAGAAGGAUGACAAACUCAAACAGCUGCAGCAGGACUUAGAAAAACAGAUCGGGGAGAAGAACAAGCUGCAGGACGACUACGACAGCCUGCAAAAUGAGAAGAACAAACUUGAUGUUACUGUACAAGAGCUUCAGGACAUACUGCGUGAUGUGGAAGAUAAAACAAUCACCACCAGUGAGUCACACACAAGAGAAUUUCUUUGAUUGUCAAGUCUGGGAAAAUAAAAGCUUGUAAGACGUUU
rnacentral:lncRNA from 1 species